ACUGUGAUAGCCGAGUGGUUAAGACAUUGAACUUGAAGUCCAAUGGAAUUAUCCUACACAGAAUCAAAUCCUGUUCACAGUG
rnacentral:tRNA from 1 species